GCAGCUUGCUGCUUUGCUGACGAGUGGCGGACGGGUGAGUAAUGUCUGGGAAACUGCCCGAUGGAGGGGGAUAACUACUGGAAACGGUAGCUAAUACCGCAUAACGUCGCAAGACCAAAGAGGGGGACCUUCGGGCCUCUUGCCAUCGGAUGUGCCCAGAUGGGAUUAGCUAGUAGGUGGGGUAAAGGCUCACCUAGGCGACGAUCCCUAGCUGGUCUGAGAGGAUGACCAGCCACACUGGAACUGAGACACGGUCCAGACUCCUACGGGAGGCAGCAGUGGGGAAUAUUGCACAAUGGGCGCAAGCCUGAUGCAGCCAUGCCGCGUGUAUGAAGAAGGCCUUCGGGUUGUAAAGUACUUUCAGCGGGGAGGAAGGGAGUAAAGUUAAUACCUUUGCUCAUUGACGUUACCCGCAGAAGAAGCACCGGCUAACUCCGUGCCAGCAGCCGCGGUAAUACGGAGGGUGCAAGCGUUAAUCGGAAUUACUGGGCGUAAAGCGCACGCAGGCGGUUUGUUAAGUCAGAUGU
rnacentral:rRNA from 1 species